rnacentral:rRNA from 1 species
GAUGAACGCUAGCGGGAGGCCUAACACAUGCAAGCCGAGCGGUAUUGUUUCUUCGGAAAUGAGAGAGCGGCGUACGGGUGCGGAACACGUGUGCAACCUGCCUUUAUCUGGGGGAUAGCCUUUCGAAAGGAAGAUUAAUACUCCAUAAUAUAUUGAUUGGCAUCAAUUAAUAUUGAAAGCUCCGGCGGAUAGAGAUGGGCACGCGCAAGAUUAGCUAGUUGGUGAGGUAACGGCUCACCAAGGCGAUGAUCUUUAGGGGGCCUGAGAGGGUGAUCCCCCACACUGGUACUGAGACACGGACCAGACUCCUACGGGAGGCAGCAGUGAGGAAUAUUGGUCAAUGGGUGCAAGCCUGAACCAGCCAUCCCGCGUGAAGGAUGACUGCCCUAUGGGUUGUAAACUUCUUUUGUAUAGGGAUAAACCUACCCUCGUGAGGGUAGCUGAAGGUACUAUACGAAUAAGCACCGGCUAACUCCGUGCCAGCAGCCGCGGUAAUAC